CCUACGGGCGGCUGCAGUGAGGAAUAUUGGUCAAUGGCCGGAAGGCUGAACCAGCCAUGCCGCGUGAAGGUCAGUGCCCUAUGGGCGUUAAACUUCUUUUGUGCGGGAGCAAUAAUGGUCACGUGUGGCCAGACGAGAGUACCGUACGAAUAAGCAUCGGCUAACUCCGUGCCAGCAGCCGCGGUAAUACGGGGGAUGCAAGCGUUAUCCGGAUUUAUUGGGUUUAAAGGGUGCGUAGGCGGUGAGGUAAGUCAGCGGUGAAAUGCCCCCGAUCAACGGGGUGAAGUGCCAUUGAUACUGCCGUGCUGGAAUGCGGAUGACGUGGGAGGAAUGUGUGGUGUAGCGGUGAAAUGCAUAGAUAUCACGCAGAACACCGAUUGCGAAGGCAUCUCACGAAUCCGCGAUUGACGCUGAGGCACGAAAGCGUGGGUAUCAAACAGGAUUAGAUACCCGAGUAGUC
rnacentral:rRNA from 1 species